GACGUAGGGCGCGAGCGUUGUCCGGAUUUAUUGGGCGUAAAGAGCUCGUAGGCGGCUUGUCGCGUCGUUCGUGAAAACCUGCGGCUCAACUGCAGGCUUGCGGUCGAUACGGGCAGGCUGGAGUUCGGUAGGGGAGACUGGAAUUCCUGGUGUAGCGGUGAAAUGCGUAGAUAUCAGGAGGAACACCUGUGGUGUAGACGGCUUACUGGACCAUGACUGACGCUGAGGCACGAAAGCGUGGGGAGCAAACAGG
rnacentral:rRNA from 1 species